rfam:Brachypodium distachyon strain Bd21 chromosome 5, whole genome shotgun sequence.
UUGCUACUUCAUCCGUCCAAUAAAAGAUGUCUCAACUUUAACUAAAUUUGAAUGUAUAUAUAUCAAGUCAUGUCUAGAUACAUUUAAAUUUUGACAAAUUUUAGACAUCUUUUAUUGGAUGGAGAGAGUACUAG